AGAGCCUGACUGCAUUUUACUCAGAUGUCGCCUCAUGUAUGGAGCAACCAUCGACUGGUCCUAAACAACUCAGAAAUCAUGAGCAAAGAUUACUCAGGCGACAGAAAAUUCGGCACUCAGAGAAUUCGAGUGCCCGAUGGCGACAACUGAGUAAAUUUUGAUCAAUUUGUACCAAGCAGUCGACUUAGUCUGGUUUUGUCAACAAACAAAUCAACUUAUUACAAGUAAGGAAAAAUCUCAUCAUAAAACAUCAUCGGAGGUGCUGGGAUCACAUUAAACGGAGUUUUGCAAAUACGGGCGCAGAGGUUCCGGAAUGGAUUCCUCAGACAAACCCGGUACGAUGGAGUUUAAAAAGGAUGGUGGCAAUGAAUACAAAUCAAUCCGGUAUGGCAAAAUAGUCGCAGACGGAACCCCGUCCCGAACCGAAGAAAAAGGUGAUUAGGUAAAAAUACUGAAAAAAAAAUUUUGAACAAUAAAAGUUUGAACCAUUUA